CGUCCUCCCAGAGUGCUAGGAUUACAGGCGUGAGCCCCCCACAUCCGGCCCCAUGUUCUUUUUUUGUUUUGUAAGGUAUUAACACAGCUGCAAAUGUGGCUACUCAGCUCUCAUUCCACUGAAUCUUGGAAGGGUAAUUUAUAUCACGGGAUUAUAGCUAAACACAAGUGCUGAGUUGGUUUUAUUUUUGUCACUUUGCCAUCUUCCUGCCAGAUCACAAGGCUUCAGUAGAACUAGGAAGGCUAUACCCCAAGCCUCCAGGACAUGAGCGGACAUGAAGAGGCUGGCCCCCCGACUGGCCUGUGGGUGCACUUCAGAAGUGUGAAUGCUGGAGAUGAAAUGUCCUUGUGAGACGGGGUUAGAAGCGUGACUUUAACUUGGACAGUCUGUGACAGGCCAUUCUGCACCUUCUCCAAGAACUUGUACUUUCCCCUACUGGUCAGGUGCAUGGCACUCACCACCAUAUUACAGCAGUUGGCUCGUUAUACUGAGUGCAGUACGGGCCUAUCUCCUAGGACCUAAGUUUUGCCAGUGCAGCCAGCUCUUAAUCUUUACUUAGGGGAAAGGACCAUUUCCACAUUUUUCUUGCAUCCAACAUAGCAGGUGAAAAUAAUUCCUUAAUGGCGGUUGAUAGCUUUGAAGGAAGAAUUAUACACCAAUAACUUCAUGAUCUUAAUAAUGAUGUUAACAGGGUAAUGCUAUAACACUUUCUCCUGAACUUCUAUCUUUUUAGAUGUAACAUGAAUCGUGUACAACAUUCCAGGCGAAUAAACCUGAUAAGCCAGGUUUGGCUUUUGUGGUGUAUUUUAAGGAUAUAGGACUUUUUGUUUUGAGCGUCCUUCCUCGUAACACAAAUUGGUACGGUUCUACCGUUCCUUUCCAAGGUUGUAACUAACAGCUUUGAUACCGUGAUUUACCAGGGCAGCAGUUUAAUCCCCCCCCCACCCCGUUAAUGCUCAAACUGUUAACAGUGGCCACUUUUUGAUCCCGUAUGCGGCCAUGCCUUUUGUAUAUAGGUCACUAAUCUUUGUAACAACCCUAAAAGGUAAGCAUUACUAUCUGUUUUACUGAUAAACUGAGGUUCAAAAAAGGUAGAAAGCCUUACUCAAGGUCACAUGGCUUGCUGAGUUAGGAAUGGGACCAAGCACUGCCCUGAACCGUCAGAACUUGACUAAGGCAUUUCAUAGACAAUCUCAUUUAAUCCAUGUAACUACACAGGGUAGGUAUUCUAUUGUUAAUUUUACAUGGAAAAUCAUAGAGGAAAGAACUGAACUCCUAGGUUAAAAAGGGGAAAACCAAACUGCCUUUUCCAAGUUGGAUGAGGUUGACCAUACACACCUAUAUGCAGCUCUUGACUUCCUCCCCCCCUUGUCCCGAGGGGACGUGGUGACUGCUUUCCCACCAGGAAGAUCUAUGUUCUCCCCCCACCCUGCUGUUUAAUAGUGAUUUUUAAAAACUCAUACGAUGCACUGGAGCCUUUUUAUCAGCAUUUGCAGGCUGAGCACAGGGUUGCGAAGCACCUCUACUUUCACCUGUUCGUGGUGCUCUGCAGGGACGCCGGUAUCUGCAUCUCAGAGAGGCACCACCUCGCCCACUGUGCUCCCCUGCUCCACUCGGGGAAGGGCUGAGAAGAUGAAGAACAAAGCUGAGAAAUAAGAAAGAUGAAAUAGUUGGAUAUGAGCUCAUGGCCAAGGAUUCAUUAUCUUCUGAUUUGUUUAUAAUUUUGGUCACUCGCAUGCUUCCACAUAUGAGACUUCAAAGAAGGAGGAUGGCUGCAUACAUACCCACACAAAGAGCAUCUGAAGGACAGUGUGCUACGAUCUGAAUAUAUGUUGGCGUCCCUCCAAAUGCAUAUGUUGAGACCUAACUCCCAAGAUGAUGGUACUGAGAGGUGGAACCUUUGGAAGGUGACUAGGUCUUGAGGGUGGAACCCCUGUGAACGAAACUGUGCCCUCAUAAAAGAGGACUGAGGGAGUGCCCCCGCCAUUGGGUGAGGAGGCUGCAAGAGGACACCAUCUGUGAAGCAGAGAGCAAACAAACUCUCACCAGACACCAGGUCAGCUGGUACCUUGAUCCUGGACUUCCUAGUCUCCAGAACUGUGAGCAAUAAAUCUACAUUGUUUAUAAAUUACCUAGUCUAAUGUAUUUUGUUGUGGCAGCCUGAAUAGACUAAGACACAGCGCUAUGGUGUGGAUAUGGUUUAUCACCAUCAAAACUCAGUCUGAAAUUUGAUCCCCAGUGUUGGGAGGUAGGGCCCAGUGGGAAGUAUUUGGCUUGGUGCUGCUCUCACGGUAAUGGGUUCUUGCUCUUCUGAGACUGGACUGGUUCUCAUGGGCGUGGAUCACUUCCCGAGAGAGUGGGUUGUUAUAAAGCCAGGACACCCCUCAGUUUUUCUCUUCCUAACUUGUGUCCUCUUCCUUUCUCACCCUCUCUGCCUUGUUGUUACAAAGUAUAAAAGCCCUCAUCAAAAGCCAGGGCUGUGCCCUUAAACUUAUCCUGCAGAACUGUGAGCUAAAAAAAACUCUUUUCUUUAUAAAUUACCCAAUCUUAGGUAUUCUUUUAUAGCAACAGAAAACUGACUCAGAAACAUAGUGUUCUAAAUAAAUAUUACUUUUCUUAGUUUUCAUUUCCCUAUAUAUUUAUAACUGACACUAACGGAGGUUUUAAUGUUUUAAUAUAAAAAUUUAAAGUUCACGGAACAAUUGUAAUUUUCCCCAUUAAUUAUUAAGAUCACUUUGCAUGGUUCCAACUUGCAUGGCGACUGGUCAUUUUUAUUGCCCCAUGCUAUUGUGCAAACUGAGGACUACUUGUAUGCAUAUACACAAACAUAUAUGUGUAUGUAUAUAACACAUGCAAAACAAGAAAGGUACAGAAUAUGCAUGAAGAAAACUUUAAAAAUACUACUGUGGUACAGAAUAAAUGACCAGAAGAAAUGGAAAAGCCCACACUUGUAUGAAGUUGUUAAUUCUUUGUAAAUAAUCUAGAAGCUUAACAUGAUCCCAGUAAGAUAACAACAGAAUUAACAGGAAACUAGAAAAGCUGACUUUAAUCUUCACAUGUGCAUGCAUUACCUGUUUGUGAGGCUGUGAAAUACCUAUUUGGUCUUGGACCUUGUUUUCAGGCAUACAACUCCUAAAAUCCUUAAAAUUUCCAAAUUAAUGUCUUUUUGUAUGCUAAUGAGUUGACUGAUGUCAGGCAGCCCUACUCACCAUUCAAAACAACAAGAAAGUGAACUACCUACAAAAUCUACAUACUUAUUUCCAUUUCCUAUUACUUCUCCC